rnacentral:rRNA from 1 species
UGGGGAAUAUUGCACAAUGGGCGGAAGCCUGAUGCAGCAACGCCGCGUGAGUGAUGAAGGCCUUCGGGUUGUAAAAGCACUUUUCAGCGAGGAGGAAGGUGGUGGACUUAAUACGUUCAUCAAUUGACGUUACUCGCAGAAGAAGCACCGGCUAACUCCGUGCCAGCAGCCGCGGUAAUACGGAGGGUGCAAGCGUUAAUCGGAAUUACUGGGCGUAAAGCGCACGCAGGCGGUUUGUUAAGUCAGAUGUGAAAUCCCCGGGGCUCAACCUGGGAACUGCAUUUGAAACUGGCAAGCUAGAGUCUCGUAGAGGGGGGCUAGAAUUCCAGGUGUAGCGGUGAAAUGCGUAGAGAUCUGGAGGAAUACCGGUGGCGAAGGCGGCCCCCUGGA